rnacentral:rRNA from 1 species
GGCAGCAGCCGCGAGAACACCGGCGGCCCGAGUGGUGAUCGUGAUUAUUGGGUCUAAAGGGUCCGUAGCCGGUUUGGUCAGUCCUCCGGGAAAUCUGAUAGCUCAACUAUUAGGCUUUCGGGGGAUACUGCCAGACUUGGAACCGGGAGAGGUAAGAGGUACUACAGGGGUAGGAGUGAAAUCUUGUAAUCCCUGUGGGACCACCUGUGGCGAAGGCGUCUUACCAGAACGGGUUCGACGGUGAGGGACGAAAGCUGGGGGCACGAACCGGAUUAGAUACCCGGGUAGUCCCAGCCGUAAACGAUGCUCGCUAGGUGUCAGGCAUGGCGCGACCGUGUCUGGUGCCGCAGGGAAGCCGUGAAGCGAGCCACCUGGGAAGUACGGCCGCAAGGCUGAAACUUAAAGGAAUUGGCGGGGGAGCACAACAACGGGUGGAAGCCUGCGGUUUAAUUGGACUCAACGCCGGACAACUCACCGGGGGCGACAGCAAUAUGUAGGCCAAGCUGAAGACUUUGCCUGAAUCGCUGAGAAGUGGUGCAUGG